CUUGCAUUGUAUGCUAAUAUACAGCUUAUGUCUCAGAGAUGAAGCCUAUAGUUUGCAAGUAAUUAUGAAUCUACUCUCACACGUUUAUUGAAUUUAUUAUUAACCAAAUAACUGGUACAAAUUAAUUUAGCAAGACAAUUCUAACAUAUCUAAAAUGUUCUCAGAAUAUAAUGCAAUGAUAAACGCAUUUUUAAAAAUAACAAAGAAGAGGAAAGUCAGUCUAUUGUUUACACAAUCAGCAGAUGCAACCAAUGCUACAAUUAUACAUAGAUUUUGGAAGCUAACUAACAGUCAUAAAGCUAACACUUCAUUAUAAACACCAAUAAUAAUUUCACUAGCCGGCACUACUAGAACCAACUGUUCAUCCAAACUACAACUUUUUUCAUGAC